rnacentral:rRNA from 1 species
UCCUACGGGAGGCAGCAGUGGGGAAUAUUGCACAAUGGGCGAAAGCCUGAUGCAGCAACGCCGCGUGAAGGAAGAAGGGUUUCGGCUCGUAAACUUCUAUCAACAGGGACGAAAGAAAUGACGGUACCUGAAUAAGAAGCCCCGGCUAACUACGUGCCAGCAGCCGCGGUAAUACGUAGGGGGCAAGCGUUAUCCGGAAUUACUGGGAGGAAAGGGGGAGUAGGCGGGAUGGUAAGCCAGAUGGGAAAGCCUUGGGCUUAACCCGAGGAUUGCAUUUGGAACUGUGGGGCUGGAGUGUCG